CACCCAGCUGCCCUCAGAAUGAUCUAACAGACAUGGCCAGUUACCUUGGAGAAUAUGUUUCUACCCAGGUUUUUUGCACAUGGGACCCCAUUUGUUGGAGGAGUUCAUCUAGAGUAUGUGAUCACCAGUUGACUCCAAGCUGGCCCUAGACAAUCAGGUGCUCCUCCUCCCCUGUCUUUGGAAUGAAUUUUGGAAAGCUGUGG